CACUGGCUGAGCCUCAAAGCUAAAAUGGAAAAUGCAUUUUAUGAGCAGAUAACACAUUUUUGGAAUGGCUACUUUAAACAUUUUGGAUACAGAUUCACAGAGAAGACUAUUUUUAGAUGAAUUAUUUCUUCUAUUUACCAUACUGAUUUGUUGGAAGAAAGAAAAACAAUAUUUUAAAAAGGGAAAACAUUCUUUAAAAGGAGUGACUCUAAAUUUCCCCUGAAGAGCAAAAUGCUGUCUGUGUCUCACUCAAUGUGGUGGCUGCUACAGGAGGAUCUUCCCAGGCCUUCUCAGGGAAUUCCCAUCAGGAUCACAGGAAUGGUCCCUGGCAGACACAACCCAGUCUGCACCUUCCAUGGGCCACAGCUGAUGGUACGAGGAGAGGUGUGACAUCUGCCUGACCUCAGCUCUGGGGGUUCCUGUGGGUGGACAGAAGGAGCCCUGGAGGCCCGGCCAGGAUGCGUCAUCUGUGGCUACCACGUGGAUUCUCUGGUGUGCUGAGUCAAGGCAGCGAUCUUCCAAGUGUGGUCGCUGUACCUCCAUCAGCACCUCCUGGGACUUGUCAGGACACUGACCCGGGCCCCAGCCAAGCUCUGCUGCUGCCUCAGCGGGACAGAGGCAGGGCCUCACUGUCUGAUGAUCCAGCCCUGCAGGGGGCCCGCUGUACCUGCAGGUGUGAGAGCCGCUGCUGAAUUAAGGCUCAGUUCAAAAGCCACCAUUUCCACCAAGACGUGGUGACCUCAACUGAAUGGGAGACAACGCCUCUCCCCAGCUCCUCUGGAAUGUGGUUCUGUCCUCUGAGCCUGGUAUCGGCAUCGAUGCUGUCUACAUGCGCUGCCGGCUGGUCGCCUACUGGAUGUGUCUGCCCGCUGGGGGAAGGAACCAGGCCCUGGAAUGGGAUCCUGAGUAGGAGCACAGUCUGGAUAUUCCUGCAGGAGUGAAGAGACAUUCUCAGGGCGGAUGUUGCCAGGACAAAGAAACACAAGCAACAACAAGAACAAAACUGGAGUGCUGGAGGCUGGAGGUCCAAGGUCAAGGCUUGGGCAGGUUGGCUUCUCUGGGGCCUCUCUCCUUGGCUUGCAGACAGUACCUCCUCGUGGUGUCCAUGUGGGUGCCCCUCUGUGCACGUGAACACAGGGUGUCUCUGUGCGUCCUAAUAUCCUCUUCUUCUAAGGACGCCCCUGACAUGGAUUCGGCACCAUCAUGACCUAGUUUUAACUUAAUCAACUCUGCAAAGACCCUGUCUCCAAUUUUUCAAAGAGCUAAAAGUGGAAAUACCAUUUCACUCAGGAAUCCCAUGACUCAAAGGAAAAUAAAUACUUCUAUCAAAAAGACACAUACACUCACGUGUUUAUCAUGGCACUAUUCACAACAGCAAAGACAUGGAAUCAACCUAGGUGCCCAUCAACAGUGGACUGGAUAAAGAAAAUGUGGUACAUAGACACCAUGGAAUACCACGCAGCCAUAAAAAAGAAUCAGUUCGUGUUCUUUGCAGUCGCGUGGAUGCAGCUGGAGGCCAUUAUUCUAAGAGAGUUAAGGCAGUAACAGAAAACCAAAUAUAGCAUGUCCUCGUGCAUCAGUGGGAGCUAAUAGCUGGGUACGCAGAGGCACAAAGGUGGGAGCAGCAGACACUGGGGACCACUUUAGAGGAGAGGGUGGGAGGGGGCAGUGGCUGAAAAACUUCUGCUGGAUGCUGUGCUCAGUGCCUGGGUGAGGGGAUCCAUGGCAGCCGAAACCUCAGGGUGAUGCGGUAUACCCAAGUCACAAACCUGCACCUGCACACCCUGCAUCUAAAAUUAAAACGAGAGAAAAAAUAAAGACCCCGUCUCCAAACCCAGUCCACUGAGGGAUGGGGCUUCAGGACUUGAGCAUGAAAAUUACAGGGACACAGUUCAGCCCUUCACAGCUCCUGACGCCUGGGCUGGGGCUGCUGCUCUUCCCUGCACUGUGAAGUCCACAGCUGUGUCUUCCCUCAGGGCCUUUCCCAGCUCACCAGGAAGACUUUACUGAGCACCUACUGCCUGCCAGGAACUGGCCUCCACACUGAAAACACCAGGGUUUCUCCGCCCAUGGGAGUUGACAGAAGAGCAGAUCCCAACAGUCAGAGGCUGCCACAUUCUCCCUGCUGUGCUGUUUGUAGGCUGAUGUGUUUAUCCUCCUGAAAGACAGUGGGAGACAGCAAAGGGACUGGGCUUCACCCCAGGGCCUGGGCCAUCUUGUGCUUGGCACAUGCUUGUUGAAGGAAGGAAGGAGCCUCUUUAUCUGUCUCUGUCUCUCUCUCUCUCUCUCACAUGCACACCCCAACACACACUUUCCAAGCUCUGCGUGGUCUCGCUCCGUUGUAAUUUGUUUAAGUGGCUCCAACCAGCGACAUGUAAGAGAUCCAGGACUGCACAGGGCAGUGCAGACGUCACCAGCAAUGGCUGAGGCUCCUGAGCGUGCCUCCUGUGCCUGGCGUCCUGGGGAUAUUCCCACAUGUGCCUCCUGUGCCUGGCCUCCUGGUGAUGUUCCCGUUGGUGUUGGUCCCGCUGAGCCCCCACAGCCUCCCUGUGCCACAGCCAUCCACGUUACCUCCAUUGCAUUUCAGGAAACGGAGGCUCAUGCAGGUUUGGUAACAUGUCUAGGUUUCCAAACUGGAAGGUGCCUGCUGGAGUGGGGACCUGGGAAACCUCCUGUCCCCGUCACUGUAUGACCACCCGCUGGUCAGCAGGCAGCUUCCCUGCACAGGAGGCUGGGUGUGCCUGACCCCACGGGGGCGCGAUGCCCACACCUGUGGGACUGAUCGAGACCCACACCUGUGAUGACUGUGGGCAUGUGUGUUACUUCCUAAAAGAUUUCCCCAUUUGUUAUAUUUCCUCAAAGGCAAAAUAACACACUAUUUUACUGAGGAAAAUCCAUCUUGCUAAUGACUGAAACCUGCUAGAAGUGGAGUAGGGUGGUGGUGUUUUUCUGUUGUGAAGGGCUUGGCAGGGCGUGGCUGUUUAUGCACCUGUGUUUCCAGACAGUGUUCAUUUCCACCCGCUGGGAUGUUGGGCCUCCAGGCUGUGUUCGCAGCUACGCGUUGACAUCCUCGCAGCUGCCUGAUGGAUAGAGACUAUUCAGCAUGAACUUGAAAAGACAUUUGUUCUGGGGAAAAUUCUUGUUGACUUGGCCACAGCACUUCCACUCCCCCACCCCCCACAGAAAUUCCUUCCCUGCCCCUCUUCUUCCUGAUUAUUGGAUUCAUUUUCCUAGGAGGUAAAAUCGUGAAAUGAACUCAACAUUUUCAAAUCCCAGUAAAGAAAUCAACCAAGAGGCGAGAGGACAAGAUGCUUGGGCUAAAUAAAACGUGACCUUUCUGGCGCCUCUGAGUUUGACUUCCAGGUCAGAGCUCUGCAAAUGCACCAUUGAAAGUUUAAUGAUUUGGAAUCCACCAAAGACAAUUUUCCUACAGCAAAUGUAGUUUUCUUUUGAAAGGAUCCAUUUACACUCAUGCUGGUGUUCGCUGGUGUUUUUGGUCUUGCUCCACUGAGCUUCUGAAACCUGUGGUGCCGUUGGCCAAGCCGCUGGAAAUGCAUGCACGUCCAGAGAUGUCCUGAAGGAAAAUGCUCACAGGUGAUCUUCAAUGUAGGUGUGGCUGUGCGGUGCUGAGUCCGACUUCCACAACUGCUCCAUUGAUUCCGUCCUUUGUAUUGUCAAACUUCUUAGUAUUUGCCAAUCACAUGUACCCUUGAGUGUGUUUAUGGUUGUGAAACACUGUAUUGCUAGCAUCAUCCAUCAUCCAACCAGGCCUUUUUUAGCCAAUCCUGGAGAAAUUGCCUCCAAGUUUCUUGUCCCUAUGCUACUCAGCCCUUUUAUUUCAUUCCAGUUGGUGCAUAAAGUUACCUAUUUGUCCAAAAUUUUAUUUUUUACAGACCAUAAUGACUUGAGAAUUAAAAUUUGCUCACCCAAAUACAGCCAUUGUUAUUUCAUCACUGGGGAUGUAAUAUUUCAGCCCCCAGUUUUCUCCUCAGAGAACUGAAUAAUCGCAUCCAUGGUUUACUUUUAAUAAACCCAGUCUCAGAGCUUAUUACACCCUUGGCUUGAGGGACGGACGCUUAUGAGCAUAACACAUGGCAGGCAUGUCAUUAGCCAAGCUGUAUUUUUACUUUUCGCUGUGGAAGUAAUAACCAACAAGGAAAAAGUUAUCUUAUUAUAACCUUAUAACCAAUUUUUGAGAUUUCAUCUUGUGUUUUAUAAUGUAUCAUGCCAUGUAAUCGUGGUGUUUUAAAUUUUCAAGUUUUAUGCCUCUGGUUCACAAUACUUUUUAAACAAUUAUCCCUGAUAUCAUUCUAAUAACUCCUCAGAAUUGUCUUUGUUUGCUAUGAUGUUCCCUAGUUGUAUUUGAUUGAAAACAAAUACUUUGAAAUCCAAGUACUUUACCAGAGAAAGGUCCUGAUCUAUUUAUUUCUUCUCCUGAUUCUAGCUACAGUCAAAUUGUAGAUAGGUAGGGAAAUUGUUUUUAAGUAACAUGAAAUAAACGAUCAUUUAACACCA